UACGGAGGAUCCAAGCGUUAUCCGGAAUUACUGGGCGUAAAGAGUUGCGUAGGUGGCAUAGUAAGUAGAUAGUGAAAGCGUGUGGCUCAACCAUACUCACAUUAUCUAAACUGCUAAGCUAGAGAAUGAGAGAGGUACCUGGAAUUCCCUGUGUAGGAGUGAAAUCCGUAGAUAUAGGGAGGAACACCGAUGGCGUAGGCAGGGUACUGGCUUAUUUCUGACACUAAUGCACGAAAGCGUGGGUAGCAAACGGG
rnacentral:rRNA from 1 species